rnacentral:rRNA from 1 species
AUUGAACGCUGGCGGCAGGCCUAACACAUGCAAGUCGAGCGGAUGAAGGGAGCUUGCUCCUGGAUUCAGCGGCGGACGGGUGAGUAAUGCCUAGGAAUCUGCCUGGCAGUGGGGGAUAACGUCCGGAAACGGGCGCUAAUACCGCAUACGUCCUGAGGGAGAAAGUGGGGGAUCUUCGGACCUCACGCUAUCAGAUGAGCCUAGGUCGGAUUAGCUAGUUGGUGGGGUAAAGGCCUACCAAGGCGACGAUCCGUAACUGGUCUGAGAGGAUGAUCAGUCACACUGGAACUGAGACACGGUCCAGACUCCUACGGGAGGCAGCAGUGGGGAAUAUUGGACAAUGGGCGAAAGCCUGAUCCAGCCAUGCCGCGUGUGCGAAGAAGGUCUUCGGAUUGUAAAGCACUUUAAGUUGGGAGGAAGGGCAGUAAGUUAAUACCUUGCUGUUUUGACGUUACCAACAGAAUAAGCACCGGCUAACUUCGUG